GGCUGCUCCCAAGGAUGGACCCCUGACGUCACUCAAUGCCAAGCCCCUUGAAAAGUGGGGAAAUGGAGAUCCUGGGAGCAUCCCUGGCAGCAGUUGAGCUGUCCAGCCGUGCAGCUGGCCUGUAGGCUUCGAAUGGAGCUGAGUGUCCUUCAAAAGGAGCAGCUGCAGGUCAUUGGCCGGAGUUCCUGGUGGAUGGGUCACUGAGGAUGGCUGCCAGCUCAGAGGGGUCAAUGGUGUGCAGCAGGAACAUCCAGGAACCUCUGCUGGCUGGAAUUUUUUGUUCUUGGCACGCUCUGACUUUUAACUUAGAAAAAAAGGAUGAAGCUACAUAUCAACUGUAUUCUGCGUGUGCACAAAGAAGAGGUCACGCGAGCGGACAACAAGAUGGCAGCUGCCUACAAGAAAAGAAGUCUUAGAAGGAAACCUACCUCGCUGGCACCUUGAUCUUGAACCGCCAGCUUUCAGAGCUGUGAGAAAUAAAUGUCCGUUGUCAUGGCAGCCAGAGCAGACUCAUCCUCCUUCUGCCCAGCACAGAAUUUGAAGGAAUGGUGUGUAAAUGUUUGGGCCACAACAAACACGUGAUAGCUUAACAGCGAAUGCCGAAACCACAGGAGCCUAACGAGAGAUGGCCUUUGAUUGGUGAAGGGUCGCUGCCUCCCUCCAGCACCCA